GAGCGCGUGAAACUUCCAGAUCCCUUCGGGGUGAUGGUUGUGGAUCGAGCGGCGGACGGGUGAGUAACACGUGGGCAACCUGCCUGUAAGACUGGGAUAACCCCGGGAAACCGGAGCUAAUACCAGAUAAUCACCGACACCGCAUGGUGUCGAUGUAAAAGAUGGUUCUGCCAUCACUUACAGAUGGGCCCGCGGCGCAUUAGCUAGUUGGUGGGGUAAAGGCCUACCAAGGCGACGAUGCGUAGCCGACCUGAGAGGGUGAUCGGCCACACUGGGACUGAGACACGGCCCAGACUCCUACGGGAGGCAGCAGUAGGGAAUCUUCGGCAAUGGACGAAAGUCUGACCGAGCAACGCCGCGUGAGCGAUGAAGGUCUUCGGAUCGUAAAGCUCUGUUGUCAGAGAAGAACACGUGAUAGAGGAAAUGCUAUCACCUUGACGGUAUAUGACCAGAAAGCCCCGGCUAACUACGUGCCAGCAGCCGCGGUAAU
rnacentral:rRNA from 1 species